UACGGGGGGGGCAAGCGUUGUUCGGAAUUACUGGGCGUAAAGGGCUCGUAGGUGGCCAACUAAGUCAUACGUGAAAUCCCUCGGCUUAACCGGGGAACUGCGUCUGAUACUGGAUGGCUUGAAGUUGGGAGAGGGAUGCGGAAUUCCAGGUGUAGCGGUGAAAUGCGUAGAUAUCUGGAGGAACACCGGUGGCGAAGGCGGCAUCCUGGACCAAUUCUGACACUGAGGAACGAAAGCCAGGGGAGCAAACGGG
rnacentral:rRNA from 1 species